rnacentral:rRNA from 1 species
GACGAACGCUGGCGGCGUGCUUAAAAUAUGCAAGUAGAACGGAAAGGAUCUGCUUUUGUGGGGUGAUUGAGUGGCGAAUGGGUGAGUAAAACGUGAGUAAAAUGUUUUUGACUUUGGGAUAACUUCAGGAAAAUGGGGCUAAUACCGGAUAGGAGCUCCUGCUGCAUGGUGGGGGUUGGAAAGUUUCGGCGGUUGGGGAUGGACUCGCGGCUUAUCAGCUUGUUGGUGGGGUAGUGGCUUACCAAGGCUUUGACGGGUAGCCGGCCUGAGAGGGUGACCGGCCACAUUGGGACUGAGAUACGGCCCAGACUCCUACGGGAGGCAGCACUGGGGAAUAUUGCACAAUGGGCGGAAGCCUGAUGCAGCAACGCCGCGUACUUGAUGACGGCCUUCGAGUUGUAAACCGCUUUCGCCUCUGACAAAGCGUGAGUGACGGUAAUGGGUAAAGAAGCACCAACUAACUACGUG